UGAUCCUGGCUCAGGAUGAACGCUGGCGGCGUGCUUAACACAUGCAAGUCGAGCGAAGCACUUCACUUUUAUUCUUCGGAUGCGAGGUGAUUUGACUGAGCGGCGGACGGGUGAGUAACGCGUGGGCAACCUGCCUCAUACAGGGGGAUAACAGUUAGAAAUGACUGCUAAUACCGCAUAAGACCGCGGUGCCGCAUGGCACAGCGGUAAAAACUCCGGUGGUAUGAGAUGGGCCCGCGUCUGAUUAGCUAGUUGGCGGGGUAACGGCCCACCAAGGCGACGAUCAGUAGCCGACCUGAGAGGGCGACCGGCCACAUUGGGACUGAGACACGGCCCAAACUCCUACGGGAGGCAGCAGUGGGGAAUAUUGCACAAUGGGGGAAACCCUGAUGCAGCGACGCUGCGUGAGCGAUGAAGUAUUUCGGUAUGUAAAGCUCUAUCAGCAGGGAAGAAGAUGACGGUACCUGACUAAGAAGCCCCGGCUAACUACGUGCCAGCAGCCGCGGUAAUACGUAGGGGGCAAGCGUUAUCCGGAUUUACUGGGUGUAAAGGGAGCGUAGACGGCGAUGCAAGCCAGAUGUGAAAGCCCGGGGCUCAACCCCGGGACUGCAUUUGGAACUGUGUGGCUGGAGUGUCGGAGAGGCAGGCGGAAUUCCUAGUGUAGCGGUGAAAUGCGUAGAUAUUAGGAGGAACACCAGUGGCGAAGGCGGCCUGCUGGACGAUGACUGACGUUGAGGCUCGAAAGCGAGGGGAGCAAACAGGAUUAGAUACCCUGGUAGUCCACGCCGUAAACGAUGACUGCUAGGUGUCGGGCGGCAAAGCCGUUCGGUGCCGCAGCAAACGCAAUAAGCAGUCCACCUGGGGAGUACGUUCGCAAGAAUGAAACUCAAAGGAAUUGACGGGGACCCGCACAAGCGGUGGAGCAUGUGGUUUAAUUCGAAGCAACGCGAAGAACCUUACCUGGCCUUGACAUCCCCACGGAUGCAGGGCAAUGCCUGCAGCCCCUCGGGGCGUGGGAGACAGGUGGUGCAUGGUUGUCGUCAGCUCGUGUCGUGAGAUGUUGGGUCAAGUCCCGCAACGAGCGCAACCCCUGCCCCUAGUAGCCAGCACGUAGAGGUGGGCACUCUAGGGGGACUGCCGGGGACAACCCGGAGGAAGGCGGGGACGACGUCAAAUCAUCAUGCCCCUUAUGGCCAGGGCUACACACGUGCUACAAUGGCGCGCACAGAGGGAAGCGAGGCGGCGACGCGGAGCGAAGCCCGGAAAGCGCGCCCCAGUUCGGAUUGCAGCCUGCAACUCGGCUGCAUGAAGCCGGAAUCGCUAGUAAUCGCGGAUCAGAACGCCGCGGUGAAUACGUUCCCGGGUCUUGCACACACCGCCCGUCA
rnacentral:rRNA from 1 species